rnacentral:rRNA from 1 species
AGCUCCAGUAGCGUAUAUUAAAGUUGUUGCAGUUAAAAAGCUCGUAGUUGGAUUUCUGGUUUGGCGCGUUUGACACGUACCGGCUACGGUCACGUAUGUCUAUGCGCGCCUGCCAUCCUUCCAGAGACCGUUUCUACCCUUCAUUGGGAUCGGAUUCGCAAUCUGGAUCUUUUACUUUGAAAAAAUUAGAGUGUUUAAAGCAGGCUUGUGCUAUGAAUACAUUAGCAUGGAAUAAUAAUUUAGGACUUUCAGUUCUAGGUUGUUGGUUUCUAGAACUGAAGUAAUGAUUGAUAGGGAUAGUUGGGGGUGCUAGUAUUCAGCGGCCAGAGGUGAAAUUCUUGGAUUCGCUGAAGACUAACUUAUGCGAAAGCAUUCACCAAGGAUGUCUUCUUUA